UGGGGAAUUUUGGACAAUGGGGGAAACCCUGAUCCAGCCAUCCCGCGUGUGCGAUGAAGGCCUUCGGGUUGUAAAGCACUUUUGGCAGGAAAGAAACGUCAUGGGUUAAUACCCCGUGAAACUGACGGUACCUGCAGAAUAAGCACCGGCUAACUACGUGCCAGCAGCCGCGGUAAUACGUAUGGUGCAAGCGUUAAUCGGAAUUACUGGGCGUAAAGCGUGCGCAGGCGGUUCGGAAAGAAAGAUGUGAAAUCCCAGAGCUCAACUUUGGAACUGCAUUUUUAACUACCGGGCUAGAGUGUGUCAGAGGGAGGUGGAAUUCCGCGUGUAGCAGUGAAAUGCGUAGAUAUGCGGAGGAACACCGAUGGCGAAGGCAGCCUCCUGGGAUAACACUGACGCUCAUGCACGAAAGCGUGGGGAGCAAACAGG
rnacentral:rRNA from 1 species